rnacentral:lncRNA from 1 species
UGUCGAGCAGUCUAUCCUUUGCAUUAUUCCGCCUUCUUGAACCGGAAACGUCACCGUGAGCACAAUAUAUUUGUAGGAAAGCAGAGAAUUUAGGAAGUUUUCUUUUCUAUUGAUUUCUGUAUAUGCAAAUCAGUACAUGGUAUUGUAUAUAUACGAAAGAGAGAGCAAAAAAAGAAUAUUCUUCCUAACCAACUUGUCACAGCUGUCCUAUACAUGAUUGACUGUGUGAUAACUAAAUUUGUACUGUGUAUAGAAUAAUUAGAGAAAAGGAAACAUUUAUCUACAAAUACGUGUGUGUAUACUAGAAGUUUCUAAUGUAACAUUUUGUUGUAUUCUUUUCCUUUUGGGUUGCAUUCUUUUCUAUUGGGCUGUAUAUUGGUAAAUUGUUGGGCCUGCUCAGGAAGUCCAAAACUUCUGGUCCGUUUUGCUUUUAUAAUUUCAGACAAGACCAAACCUAUCCUUUCCUUAAACUUAUCAAAACGUUUUCCUCUUUCAUUCGAUGCAACCAAAGCCCUAAUUUUUCUUUCAUCUUCUUUGGUUCUUUGUCGAUGAGAAACAAGAACAUUAUUGUCAACACCCCCCCUCAAGUUGGAGGGGUGAGAAGAAACCCCUAACUUGCCGAUAACCUGCUGAUGACGAAGGCCAGUGAGAGGUUUGGUGAAGACGUCGGCAAGCUGAGAAACGGAGGGAACAAAAUUGAGAGUAAUGAGGCCGUCAAGGAACUGUUGGCGAACAAAAUGACAGUCAAGCUCCACAUGCUUGGUACGCUCAUGGAAAACGGGAUUCCGAGCGAUAUGUAUGGCAGCUUGACUAUCAGAAUGAAGAGAGACCGGUAGAGAUGGUGAAAUAGUGAGGUCAGAUAGCAAACGAACGAGCCAAGUAAGUUCGGCAACAACGCGCCUCAUGGAUCUAUACUCUGCUUCAGCAGAGGAGAGGGAAAUUAAAGGUUGUUUCUUUGAUUUCCAAGAAACAGGAGGGCCACCAAGGCUAAUGAAAUAGUCGCUAACAGAGCGACGAGUCUCCGGACAAGAAUCCCAGUCAGAAUCACAAAAGGCAAGUAGCUGAAAAGAGGGAUCAGUUCUAAAAAACAAACCAAGACCAGGAUUGGCAAGUAAGUAUCGAACACAGUGAAUGGCUGCUUGAAAAUGAGGUUGUCGAGGAGUUUGCAUGUAUUGACUCAAAUGCUGAACGACAAAGGAUAAAUCUGGGCGGGUAUGAGUCAAAAAAUUGAGCUUUCCCAGUAGGCGACGAUAAACAGUAGGAUCAGGCAAAAGCUCACCAACAUCAGCAUAAAGUUUAGUAGAUGGCUCAAGUGGAGAAGCAGUAGGUUUCUUGUCAAGACAGUCAAAUUCAGACAACAAUUCUAAGGUAAACUUUCUCUGUGUAACAAUUAAUCCUUGAGAUUCCCUUAAAAGUUCCAUUCAAAGGAAAAAAUUAGCCUGACCCAAGUCUUUUAUUUUAAAUUCCGAGUGAAAAAGUCCUUUAGAAGAGCUAUCUCAGUAAGAUCAUCUCCUGUUAAAAGGAUAUCAUUGACAUAGGCUGCAAGGAUGCAUACUCCAGUAGUUGUCUUCUUGAAAAACAGGGAAUAGUCAUUUAGGGAAUGAGAAUACCCUUUAAAAUUAAGAGCAGCAGUUAGUCUUGCAUACCACUGCCGUGAGGCCUGUUUUAGACCAUUGAAAGACUUCCUCAAUCUGCAUACAUGAUUAGAACUAGGAGGUUGCAUACCAACAGGGAAUUUCAUAUACACUUCUUCCUGUAAAUCACCAUGAAGAAAGGCAUUGUUAACGUCUAAUUGAAACAAUGUCCAGCUCUUUUUAACUGCAACUGCUAAUAGGCAUCUCACAGUGGUCAUUCUGACCACAGGUGAAAAAGUUUCCGUGUAAUCAAUUCCCUCUCGUUGAACAUCCCCCCGAAUGACUAGUCGUGCCUUGAACCGUUCGAUACUGCCAUCUGCCUUGUAUUUGACUUUGUAAACCCAUUUACAAGGCAUUGCCUUUUUCCCUUUAGGAAGAAGAACUACAUCCCAAGUGUUGUUGGCCUCCAAGGCCUCAAACUCCCGUGCCAUCGCUUUCUGCCAAUAGGGGUGUAAACAGGCUUGGGAAAAAGUAGUUGGGUCAUGAAUAUGAGAAGUUGAGUUGAGAAAAGCCUUAUUAGAAUGAGAAAGAGCAGAAAUAGGUAGAGUAGGAGGUGAGGGUGAGGCUGCAAAACAAGUAGAGGUUAGAUUAGUUAGUUAAACUGCAUUACAUACAUAAUCCUUCAAAUAGGUAGGACGAUGCACAUCUCUGGAGGACCUUCUCAACUGAAAAGGAGAAGGGGAAGAUGCAGAUGUAGAAAGAGUGAAAGGUACUGGACUGUGAGUCAUAGAAGGCAGUGGAGAGGAGGAAUAGGAGGAAGAAGGGACAGAGUUAGAGGCAGAACUAGGAAGUAGAGAGUUAGUAGAAGGGGAAUUGGGAAAGAUAGGAGGAAAAACAGGAAAAGAAAGAGGCUGGGAGGACUAGGAAAUAGGAGAGGAAGGUGAUACUGGAAAAAUAGAAACAUAGGGAGUAGAGAUAAAAGGAAAAAAAUCUUCAUGAAAUCUUACAUUUCUGGAAACAAAAGUUUUCAUAGUGAGUAAGUCCAACAGUUUGUAUCCCUUUUGGCUAAAAGGAUAACCCAAAAUCACACAUUUGAUAGCUCUAGGGUCCAGCUUAGAUCUGGAUUGAGGGAGAGUAGAAGCAUAGCAAAGGCAACCAAAAACUUUGAGGUUAUCAUAAGAAGGAGCCCUGCCAAAAAGAAGCUCAUAUGGUGUUUUGUAAUGGAGAACCCUAGAAGGGAACCUGUUAAUCAAAUAAGUAGCAGUCAAAAGACAUUCACCCCAAUAGGAUAAAGGUAGAUUGGACUGAAAAAGCAAAGCCCUACAAGUCUCCAAAAGAUGUUUGUGUUAUUCUUUCGACUACCCCAUUCUGUUGUGGUGUGGCUACACAAGAAGUUUGGGUAAGAUACUUUGGGAAGAUAGGAAAUUAGAGGUGUUUAAGCUGGAACCCAACUUUUUAGCAUUGUCAGAUCCAUUUUCACCUUGGUAUUGAAUUGUCUUUCAACUAAAACCAAAAAAUACUUCAAAACAAUGAAAACAUUACCUUUUUGUUUUAAGAAGACAUGUCCAUGUACCCCUACUAAAAUCAUCAACAAUUGUUAGAAAGUACUUGUAACCAUCAUGAGUUGUGGUUUUAUAAGGGCCCCAAGUAUCCUUAUGAAUAAGUUCAAAAUUCGAUUUAGCUGAGAUUGUACUAGUAGGAAAAGGAAGCUUAGACUGCCGAGCUUCUGAACAAACAUCACAUGGAUCAGUAAAAGUAGAUAAGGAAGAUAAUGAAAAACUGUAAAGAUUCUUCAUACUAGAAAUAGACAAAUGCCCCAAUCUCUUAUGCCAAAGGCGUACAUCAGAUAAUCUCUUGGAAUUGGACUGAGAAUUAGAACAGGAGUAGUACUAGAAUUAUUACAAACAGACUUAGAAGCUAAAGUUCUAACUGAAACUGAACUAGGAAAAACUGAAACUGAGGCAAACUUGAAUGGAGCAUCACUAGGUUUGAUUGGAAUAGACUUGAGAACAUAUAAUCCUUCUUGAACUUCACCAAGAACCACUGGCCUCUUCAUUGAAGGGGCCUGCAAGAUUGCACCAAGAGAAUAAAAAAUUAACAAACAAUGUAAUUGAGUAGUGAAUUUGUGGACUGAUAGAAGAUUAAAUCUGAAUUGAGGUACAAAAAGCACAUUGUGGAGAGUAAGAUCACAGGCAAGAUAUGAACACUACCUUUAUGAGUAACUUUGAGUUUUUGAGAAUUAGGCAAUUUAACAUACAAUGUUGAGGACAGAGGCAUGGUGUUAAAUAAGAGUGAAUGAUCAUAGGUCAUGUGUUCUGAGGCUCCAGAAUCAAGAACCCAUGAGAAAGAGUCAGUGUGAGAUAGUAGUGAAAAAGGGCAAGGGUCUAAUUUAGGUGUGAUUAUACCAGCACAAUUGGCAGAAACUGUAGCAUCAGACAUUUGAUCACUCUGUUGUCCAACCUUCACUUACUGGAGAAGCCGAAAGAGCUGAGAAAAUUGUUCUUGUGUGAUGACAUUUCCAGAAGAGGUUCCCUCCAUGCUUUGAACUUGCUGCACAAUGUGUUGUUCAGCUGCAACUGGAGCUGCAUUGCUGUGAACAUGAGGCUGAUACUUCUUUGAUUUGGUAAAUUUGAAAUUUGCUGGGAAUCCAAUCAACCUGUAACAAUUAUCAACAACAUGAUUUGUCAUUUUACAGUAAGUGCAAAAUUUCCUCCCUUUGGCUUAUCAGAGUUGUGUUUCAUAGGUCCAGCAGUAGAAUUAAACUUCUGAAAACUGUUUGUCCUUUGAUUGUUGUUAAACUUCUGAUUUGUAACCAGGAAAGUAGCUUCAGAUGGACGAGCAGCAACAUGGACUUCUCUUUGUUUCUCAUCUUGAAUAAGCAAAGAAUAAGCAUGGCUAACAGUGGGAAGAGGGUCCAUCAUUAGAAUACUGCUCUUAACACUUGAAUAGGCUUCAUUAAGCCCCAUCAAAAACUGGAUCAGCCUGCCAUCUUGAUGAGAAUUGAGGGUUUUCUUCUUACCACCACAGGUGUACUUACACGAGCAAUGGUCAAAGGUAUUUAGGGCAUCUAACUCAUCCCAGAUCUGUUUGACCUUUGUGAAAUAUCCUGCUAUAUCUGAAGCACCUUGGACAUCAUCAUUGAGUUCCCUUUGGAGCUGGUACAGCUGAGCUCCAUUACACUGCCCAAAUCUGGCUUCUAACUCCUUCCAUAUUUCUCUGGCAGUUUUGGAGUAGAGAACAGAUUCAGCAAUGCUCUUAGAGAGUGAGUUGAGAAUCCAGGAGAUUACCGUGUCAUUACAUCUGCUCCAAGACUUGUAGUGAGCAGAAACAUCAGCUGGCUCAGUAGAAGACCCAUCAAUGAACCAAGCUUGUUCUUGGCUAAAAGAGUGAUGACAAUAGCCCUGCUCCAUCCUGCAUAUCCUUUCCUAUCAAAAGGAGAGUUCACCAGAAUCAUUCCAGGUGAAUCAGAUGGGUGUAGGUAAUAAGGAUUGGAGGAAUCAAGCAAGCUUGAAGAAGAGGUACCAGAAAGUGGAGUGGAAUGAUCAUCAGCAGAGGGAGCCAUUUGAAAAGAAAAAACUGAAAAUCUGAAAAAAAGAGACUUUUUGAGCACCUAAAGCUCUGAUACCAUGUAGGAAAGCAGAGAAUUUAGGAAGUUUUCUUUUCUAUUGAUUUCUGUAUAUGCAAAUCAGUACAUGGUAUUGUAUAUAUACGAAAGAGAGAGAAAAAAAAAAUAUUCUUCCUAACUAACUUGUCACACCUAUCCUAUACAUGAUUGGCUGUGUGAUAACUUUUUGUACUGUGUGUAGAAUAAUUAGAGAAAAGGAAACAUUUAUCUACAAAUAUGUGUGUGUAUACUAGAAGUAUCUAAUGUAACAU